CCUACGGGUGGCAGCAGUGAGGAAUAUUGGUCAAUGGACGAGAGUCUGAACCAGCCAAGUAGCGUGGAGGAUGACUGCCCUAUGGGUUGUAAACUUCUUUUAUAUGGGAAUAAAAUGUUCCACGUGUGGGAUUUUGUAUGUACCAUAUGAAUAAGGAUCGGCUAACUCCGUGCCAGCAGCCGCGGUAAUACGGAGGAUCCGAGCGUUAUCCGGAUUUAUUGGGUUUAAAGGGAGCGUAGGUGGAUUGGUAAGUCAGUUGUGAAAGUUUGCGGCUCAACCGUAAAAUUGCAGUUGAAACUGGCAGUCUUGAGUACAGUAGAGGUGGACGGAAUUCGUGGUGUAGCGGUGAAAUGCUUAGAUAUCACGAAGAACUCCGAUUGCGAAGGCAGUUCACUGGACUGCAACUGACACUGAGGCUCGAAAGUGUGGGUAUCAAACAGGAUUAGAUACCCGGGUAGUC
rnacentral:rRNA from 1 species